UGUCUGGUCCCUAGCAUUGGCUGCCCACCCUCUGAAAAGCGACUGAGUCCUUGAGUCUCCUGGGAUGUUCAUAUGAAUCCCCUUGAAGCUUUAAUUUGAUAAGACCUCAGUGGAGACUGCUGAACGCCUGAGAUUUAACAUCAUAUAUUAUUCAUUGUUGCUGUUGCCACAGACGUGCUGAUUUUGCCCCUGCUGAGCAAGGCACUUCUGCACAUGGGAACUUGAUGGCUAACCACACUGCAUGUUCUUCAGGCAGGACCUAUUCCAGAACAUUCCAAGCUGUCUGCUAGCAAGUCUGCAUUAACUCCCUCAAUGCUGCAUGCACGGUGUCACUGAGUCCUUCACCACCCGCCCCGCCACCAGAGCCAGUCUUUUUAAGAAUUUUGCCUGGGCUGUGUUUUUCAAAGUGCCUCUCUCUAGUGUGCAUCUCUUCUUAAUCACAGAAAGCAGAUCUGAGAGCUUCUAAUGCACUUUUCUAUUACUUCAAGAACACUGUGUAUAAUAAUAAACUCUACAGAAAUAAACCAAAGCACAAGAAGCUUUCAGGUCUGGAGGCUGACAUUUCUCAAGACAGAUGCAAAAACCCAGGCCCAGAGAGAUGAAGAAACCUGGCUAAGGUAACAUGUAAGUUAGUGUCAAAAUCAGGAUAAAACCCAGAUCUUCUGACUCUUAGUGUAGCCCUCUUUUUACCCAGCCACACUGCCUGUGUCCCUGGGACUGUUAGUAAAAUAACAGGUGAGCUGGACCCCCUUUUUGAGAUGACUGGGUAUGUUUACUGUCUGGGUCAGAUCAGUCAAGUACUCUGAGUCUAGGGUUGUUCCUAGAACAGAAGCUGGGGUUGAUGAGCAUUUGUGAGUAUUGGAGAAGGAGUGAGGGGGAGGAGCCUCACACGCAAACCCAGGCCCUGGUUUCAAUUUCGUGUAUGAGAUUACCUGAGAACGGAAUGCAAGUAACAGGCAAAUAAUUGACAUCUCAGACCUAACUGUGUAUGCAUCCUGAGUAGCUAAUAGUGAGCUGUUCACUACUAAUGCUGUGUGUAGGUUCAUCCCAAAGACAGGCUGAUCCACACAUAGACAGGCUGGUCCUGUGAUUAAGGAGUGUGAGCUGGCAUUCCCUUUAUCAGGACAAAGAUAGGUUCUGCUUCCUCUGGAUAUUCUUUAGGCAAAGCUUUACUUAUGGCCUUGCAAAUAACCCAUGGUCUCUUGGUCAAUGAACAAAAUAGCAGUGAAGAAGAUGAAUUCUCCUUAUUUAUCUUCAGUUUUCUCCCUGGAGUGAAAGUGAGGGUUAUUGUCUGGUAUAUUAGAAAAAUAGUACAUUAUACUACCUAAGGGGUUUCAGUCUGACUCAAAAUGAAAGGAUAACAGGAAAUGGGGUGCUGUUUUGCUGAGUAGCUGAGAUAGCCUACCUUAUUAAUUCUAAGUAUGUCUCUAUUUUCCCUUUCCAAUGCUUCUUGGUUUCUUACUAUUUCUAAAUCCCCUUUCCCCAUGUGCAGCAUGGUGUGGGUAGAGAUAGGAAUAAGAAGCAGCUAAUUCUUACCUUACAAGAAAAAUAACUUGGCAGUCAAGAGAAAAUUGACGGCAACACUCUUUGCAAACAGCAUUCGUAGCCCCAGCACUGUGAGGGACAUCAUGUUCACCUUCUCGGUAUGAACUAUGGCUGAAAAAGAGUGAAGAGGGUGGCUUCAGGGAGAGAUUAAAUUCCCUUCCAGAAAUUGGGCCUGCGACACUGAUAUCAGCCUGCCCCAAGCCUGCCUAGUUCUUUCUGGCCUGCAAGCCCAGCAUGGUGCCAGAUAGCCGUCAGAGACCUUAGGCUGCUGCUGACACCCAGCCAGGCAAGCUUGGGAAACCGAUGCCGACGGCCAGGUAAGCCCUGCUGGGAGAGUCAGAGGCUCCGCAGAACCAACUGGGCUCAGCAUGGUUUGUGUUUUCUUUUGAAAUCUGAUACAUUUUGGCCCCAGUGGACAAUUACACAGUUUGCUUUAACCCUUGAUUCUGAAGUUGGCCCUUUGAUUUGAACUAACCUUUGAGUUUAUGGCAGCUCUUUGAAGGUUGCUUUGUGUUUUCAGUUUCCUUUGGUUUUAGGUGAUCUGGAACAAACAGCAGUGGUCAGGGUUACAUUGGGAAUGAAGAGGCUCACAGGAUUGUAGGCUUUUAAAACUGGAGGAGACUUUGGCUCCUUGAAGCUAGAAAUGGCCUACCUGUAGAAUCUGUCUUCUCUUCAAAGUCAGUAGAGUGCACAGUUUUAUUGUCGUGUUGAACUGAACAUGUCACUGAAUUUGAAUCUUCGUAUUUACCAAGCUUGACAGCAUUGUACUUCCCACUGGGAGAGAUGACAAUAGCAGGAUCAAACUCUGUUAUCUUCUUGGAUGACUCGAGAUUUAUUCUUAUAUCCUUGGGGUAGAAUUCCUUCACCAGACAAGCGACAUUUGUUCCAUUUUUCAUGACAAAAACGGAUGGUUUGGUAUGAGGCUGACUUUCUGCAAAUAUAAUCAACUUAUUAGGGUCUUUUUCACCCAGGUUGGAGUGAAGUGGCCCAAUAUCAACUCAUUGCAACCUCUGCCUCCUGGCUCAGACUCUCCUCCAGCCUCAGUCUUCCGAGUAGCUGGGACCACAGGUGCACACCACCACACCUGGCUAAUUUUUUGUAUAAAAAUAAAUAAUUUUUCUAAUGCUUUAUCCUGAAUCUGAAUUUGGGCUUCAGCUGUGAGGUUCACAGCAGUAGAGCUACUGCCAGAUCAACUGGUUAUAUCUGGUUGAGAGGGAGCGAUUGCUAGUCAGGAAGUUUCUGCUGAUCACGGCUUUGUAAAUGGACCAAAGUUGAUCAUGGUUUUCCUAGAAAAUCAACUAUUCAGAGAACCCCCCCAUCACUACCAUCAUCAUUCUCCCCGUUUCCUCUGCUGAGAAGCUCAACUAAAAGACUGAUUCUGUUUCAGUCACUCAGGGCAGGAAACUUAUUCCUACGAAUCUGGUUCCUUAUGUUUUUGGCUUUAGUUCUAGACAAUUGAAAGGAUUAGAAAUUUUUCAAAGGGCUUUCUUGGAACCUGCUUUCAACCUGCUUGAGAAAACUUCCUCUGUUUGGUUUCCUUGCAUAGCUGAAGCCACCUGAUAACAGAAAGUGAUAACUCUAGCAUUAACGGUUGGAAACCACAUGCAUUGCUCACUCACCUCCCUUCAUAAGUGCAACACUUCUUGCUCACUAUCUUGACUUUGGUUUCAGAUGUACUCUGGCUGACUUUCAAGGGAGUUACAAGUUACAAAAGAAACUUGUCCAUAAAAUAAACACCCUAUCUCCUUGUUUAUUUAAGAGUAUCUCUUAAUCCUAGUCUGAUUUAGUUGGAUAAUUAAGGCUUGCUAGAAUUUUAAAAUCUAAAUUCAUCAGGCAGUUGUCAAAUCAUCACUUUGGGCUGGGGAGAUUGGGUUUGAGUAAUUUGAAUAAUACAAUAUAACUGAAAAGACAGAUGUCUGAAGAAGGUCAUGCACUUAUGAUAUUGUGCUCUGACUGUAUUAGUCAGCAGUUCAGAUAGAGCAUAAUACAUUGAUUUGAUAAAACAUUUUUCUGAAUCCCUCUUUCUACAUUAAUGUUUAUAUUUUCAAAACGAUUGUUUGAAAGAAAGUGUCUUGUAGAAUCCACUGUUUGGCAUCUUGGUAACCAAAGAAAUGGGUGUCUGACUGAAUUAAACCUUUUUAAAAACUGGAGUUCACUCAAUAUAGUUGCCAUAUGCAUCCUAGUCUAUUUUGUAUUUGACUUAAACCCAAACGUGAAGCUGUAUGAAAUUGUAGUCCAAAAUUUAGAUUAAAGAUUUAAUUGUUUAUCUUUGAAGAAUUUGUAGUCUUUUUUUCUUAGUCCACAAAUAUAAUUACAU